AGUAAAUAGAUACCCCGGUAGUCCAUGCUGUAAACGGUGUGAACUUGACGUGGGUGGAUUUAACCCCUUCCGUGUCGAAAGCUAAACGCGAUAGGUUCACCGCCUGGGGACUACGGCCGCAAGGCUAAAACUCAAAGAAAUUGACGGGGGCCCGCACAAGCGGUGGAGCAUGUGGCUCAAUUCGAUGCAACGCGAAGAACCUUACCUGGAUUUGACAUAUACUUGACAGCUGUGGAAACACAGUCUUUCGCAAGAACAGGUAUACAGGUGCUGCAUGGCUGUCGUCAGCUCGUGCCGUGAGGUGUUCGGUUAAGUCCGGCAACGAGCGCAACCCGUGUCGUCAGUUACUAACAGGUAAAGCUGAGAACUCUGGCGAGACUGCCCGUUACUAAGCGGGAGGAAGGAGCGGAUGACGUCAAGUCCGUAUGGCCUUUAUAUCCAGGGCUGCACACGUGCUACAAUGGUCGGUAUAAUGGGAUGCAAGACCGCGAGGUUGGAGC
rnacentral:rRNA from 1 species